rnacentral:lncRNA from 1 species
AUUGAUUUAUGAGUUAUUGAUUAUGUAAUUGGAGCACUAAAUGAUUGAAUUAUGUGAGGAGUUAUUGGAAGAUUAUGAUUGUUGUUUAUUGAGAGCUAUGUGUAUUUCAUCAAAGGAAGUUGGUAAUUAAAGAAAUUAUGUGAAUUCAGAUUGGUUGGAGUGAAGUCUGUUAUUUCUGGUGUUGGAUAGAAAUUAUAUAUUUUGAGCGGUCUUUUGAGAGUAC